rnacentral:rRNA from 1 species
AAUUAGCUUUUUAAUUAAGAGAUAGAAUGAUAGAAGAUACUAAAAGUACUAUUAUUAAAAUAUUAUUUGAAAUUUUAGUCGUAGUGAAAAUACUACGGGUGUCAAUAUAGACAAAAAGACCCUAUGAAGCUAAUAAAAAAUAAGGUUAUAAUUUAUUAAAGAAUUUUUUAGUUUUUUGGGGUAAAAUUUAAAAAAUUUAUUAUUCCUGUGAAAAUAUAAUAAUAGCCUUCAGGAAAUGUGAGUAAGCUCCCCUAGGGAUAACAGCAUAAUACUUAGGAGAGGCCCUAUCGAAAUAAGUGU